rnacentral:rRNA from 1 species
UACAGAGGGGGCAAGCGUUAUUCGGAAUUAUUGGGCGUAAAGGGCGCGUAGGCGGCCUGGCAAGUGGAAGGUGAAAUCCCUCGGCUUAACCGAGGAACUGCCCUCCAAACUGCUUGGCUUGAGUCCGGGAGAGGUGAGUGGAAUUCCCAGUGUAGCGGUGAAAUGCGUAGAUAUCGGGAGGAACACCUGUGGCGAAAGCGGCUCACUGGACCAUAACUGACGCUGAUGCACGAAAGCUAGGGGAGCAAACAGG